UGCCAGCCGCCGCGGUAAGACGGAGGGUGCAAACGUUGUUCGGAAUCACUGGGCAUAAAGAGCACGUAGGCGGCCCGCUCAGUCAGUUGUGAAAUCCCCCGGCUCAACCGGGGAACCGCAAUUGAUACUGGUGGGCUCGAGGACGGUAGGGGUGAGUGGAACUCCAGGUGGAGCGGUGAAAUGCGUAGAUAUCUGGAGGAACACCGGUGGCGAAAGCGGCUCACUGGACCGUCUCUGACGCUGAGGUGCGAAAGCUAGGGUAGCGAACGGGAUUAGAUA
rnacentral:rRNA from 1 species